rnacentral:rRNA from 1 species
GAUGAACGCUGGCGGCGUGCCUAACACAUGCAAGUCGAGCGAGAUAAAUGUGAGUGGAGACUUCGGUCAAAGCAAUCAUUUUGAAAGCGGCGGACGGGUGAGUAACGCGUGAGCAAUCUGCCCCAUACAAAGGGAUACCCACUGGAAACGGUGAUUAAUACCUUAUAAGACCACGAAGUCGCCUGGCUUAGUGGCCAAAGAUUUAUCGGUAUGGGAUGAGCUCGCGUCUGAUUAGCUAGUUGGUGAGGUAAUGGCUCACCACGGCGACGAUCAGAAGCCGAACUGAGAGGGAGAACGGCACAGCUGGAACUGAGACACGGUCCAGACUCCUACGGGAGGCAGCAGUGGGGAAUAUUGCACAAUGGGCGCAAGCCUGAUGCAGGAACGCCGCGUGAAUGAUGAAGGCCUUCGGGUCGUAAAGUUCUGUCCUAAGGGAAGAAUACAGUGACGGUACCUUAGGAGGAAGCCCCGGCUAACUACGUGCCAGCCGCCGCCGUAACAC